rnacentral:rRNA from 1 species
CUACGGGACGCUGCAGUGGGGAAUAUUGGACAAUGGGGGAAACCCUGAUCCAGCAAUGCCGCGUGUGUGAAGAAGGCCUGCGGGUUGUAAAGCACUUUCGGUUGGGAGGACUGCUUCUAGCACUAAUAUUGUUGGAAGUUGACGUUACCUUCAGAAGAAGCACCGGCGUAACUCCGUGCCAGCAGCCGCGGUAAUACGGAGGGUGCAAGCGUUAAUCGGAAAUACUGGGCGUAAAGCGCGCGUAGGCGGCUAGAUCAGUCGGGUGUGAAAGCCCCGGGCGUAACCUGGGAACUGCAUCCGAUACUGUCUAGCUUGAGUACAGGAGAGGAGAGUGGAAUUCCACAUGUAGCGGUGAAAUGCGUAGAUAUGUGGAGGAACACCAAUGGCGAAGGCAGCUCUCUGGCCUGAUACUGACGCUGAGGUGCGAAAGCGUGGGGAGCAAAUAGGAUUAGAUACCCUCGUAGUC